GACGAACGCUGGCGGCGUGCUUAACACAUGCAAGUCGAACGGUAAGGCUCCAGCUUGCUGGGGUACACGAGUGGCGAACGGGUGAGUAACACGUGGGUGACCUGCCCUGCACUUCGGGAUAAGCCUGGGAAACUGGGUCUAAUACCGGAUAGGACCAUGGUGUGGAUACUGUGGUGGAAAGUUUUUUCGGUGUGGGAUGGGCCCGCGGCCUAUCAGCUUGUUGGGGGGGUAAUGGCCUACCAAGGCGGCGACGGGUAGCCGGCCUGAGAGGGUGGACGGCCACAUUGGGACUGAGACACGGCCCAGACUCCUACGGGAGGCAGCAGUGGGGAAUAUUGCACAAUGGGCGGAAGCCUGAUGCAGCGACGCCGCGUGGGGGAUGACGGCCUUCGGGUUGUAAACUCCUUUCACCAUCGACGAAGGGUUUCUGACGGUAGAUGGAGAAGAAGCACCGGCUAACUACGUG
rnacentral:rRNA from 1 species